AAACAAACCACUUUGCCUACUGUUAAUAGUAGUUUUUUACUAUUGCAAUGACAAUUUUUUCAAUACUUUAAACAAUUUUUCUAAACUCUUAACGCACCAACACACCUACAACACACAACUGGCAAAACAGUCAACUUGA